GCGAGUCAUUGUAGCAAUACAAGGCGUACUGCUCAGUAACACGUAGCUAACAUACCGUAAAGAGGGGAAUAAUCCCGGGAAACUGGGAAUAAUGCCCCAUAGGUUAAGAAGGCUGGAACGCAUCUUAACUCAAAGCCGCUAGGCGCUUUACGAUUGGGCUGCGGCGGAUUAGGCUGUUGUUGAGAUAAAAGCUCAACAAACCUAUAAUCCGUACGGGUCGUGAGAGCGAUAGCCCGGAGAUGGCUUCUGAGACAUGAAGCCAGGCUCUACGGAGCGCAGCAGGCGCGCAAACUUUGCAAUGUGCGAAAGCACGACAGGGGCACCCUGAGUGAAUUCGUUCAACGAAUUCUUUUAUUAAGUCUAGAUAGCUUGAUGAAUAAGAGGUGGGCAAGACGGUUGCCAGCCGCCGCGGUAAUAACCGCGCCUCAAGUAGUAGCCACGAUUAUUGGGCCUAAAGCACCCGUAGCCGGUUUGACAAGUCUCCGGUGAAAUUCAACAGCAAACUGUUGGAAGUGCUAGAGAUACUGUCAGACUUGAGACCGGGAGAGGGCAAGAGUACAACAGGGGUAGGGGUAAAAUCCUUUAAUCCUUGUUGGACUACCUGUGGCGAAGGCGCUUGCCUGGAACGGGUCUGACGGUGAGGGGUGAAAGCGUGGGGAGCGACCGGGAUUAGAUA
rnacentral:rRNA from 1 species